rnacentral:rRNA from 1 species
UACGUAGGGGCAAGCGUUGUCCGGAUUUAUUGGGCGUAAAGAGCGUGUAGGCGGCCGUACAGGUCAGCUGUGAAACUCGAGGCUCAACCUCGAGACGUCGGUUGAAACCGUACGGCUAGAGUCCGGAAGAGGAGAGUGGAAUUCCCGGUGUAGCGGUGAAAUGCGCAGAUAUCGGGAAGAACACCCGUGGCGAAGGCGGCUCUCUGGACGGUACUGACGCUGAGACGCGAAGCGUGGAGCGAACGAGG